rnacentral:tRNA from 1 species
UGGGGGAUCGUCCAGUGGUAGGACUACGGACUCUGACUCCGUCAACGGGGGUUCGAAUCCCUCUCCCCCAGCCA